rnacentral:rRNA from 1 species
CCUACGGGUGGCUGCAGUAGGGAAUCUUCCGCAAUGGACGAAAGUCUGACGGAGCAACGCCGCGUGAGUGAAGAAGGUUUUCGGAUCGUAAAACUCUGUUGUCAGAGAAGAACAAGUUGGAGAGUAACUGCUCCAGCCUUGACGGUAUCUGACCAGAAAGCCACGGCUAACUACGUGCCAGCAGCCGCGGUAAUACGUAGGUGGCAUGCGUUGUCCGGAUCUAGCGGGGGCGGAUCGUGCGGACGGAUGUGAAAGCCCACGGCUCAACCGUGGAAGGUCAUUGGAAACUGGGGAACUUGAGUGCAGAAGAGGAGAGUGGAAUUCCAUGUGUAGCGGUGAAAUGCGUAGAUAUAUGGAGGAACACCAGUGGCGAAGGCGACUCUCUGGUCUGUAACUGACGCUGAGGCUCGAAAGCGUGGGGAGCAAACAGGAUUAGAUACCCCAGUAGUC